GAACGCUGGCGGCAGGCCUAACACAUGCAAGUCGAACGGUAACAGGAAGCAGCUUGCUGCUUUGCUGACGAGUGGCGGACGGGUGAGUAAUGUCUGGGAAACUGCCUGAUGGAGGGGGAUAACUACUGGAAACGGUGGCUAAUACCGCAUAACGUCGCAAGACCAAAGAGGGGGACCUUCGGGCCUCUUGCCAUCAGAUGUGCCCAGAUGGGAUUAGCUUGUUGGUGAGGUAACGGCUCACCAAGGCGACGAUCCCUAGCUGGUCUGAGAGGAUGACCAGCCACACUGGAACUGAGACACGGUCCAGACUCCUACGGGAGGCAGCAGUGGGGAAUAUUGCACAAUGGGCGCAAGCCUGAUGCAGCCAUGCCGCGUGUAUGAAGAAGGCCUUCGGGUUGUAAAGUACUUUCAGCGGGGAGGAAGGUGUUGUGGUUAAUAACCGCAGCAAUUGACGUUACCCGCAGAAGAAGCACCGGCUAACUCCGUGCCAGCAGCCGCGGUAAUACGGAGGGUGCAAGCGUUAAUCGGAAUUACUGGGCGUAAAGCGCACGCAGGCGGUCUGUCAAGUCGGAUGUGAAAUCCCCGGGCUCAACCUGGGAACUGCAUUCGAAACUGGCAGGCUUGAGUCUUGUAGAGGGGGGUAGAAUUCCAGGUGUAGCGGUGAAAUGCGUAGAGAUCUGGAGGAAUACCGGUGGCGAAGGCGGCCCCCUGGACAAAGACUGACGCUCAGGUGCGAAAGCGUGGGGAGCAAACAGGAUUAGAUACCCUGGUAGUCCACGCCGUAAACGAUGUCUACUUGGAGGUUGUGCCCUUGAGGCGUGGCUUCCGGAGCUAACGCGUUAAGUAGACCGCCUGGGGAGUACGGCCGCAAGGUUAAAACUCAAAUGAAUUGACGGGGGCCCGCACAAGCGGUGGAGCAUGUGGUUUAAUUCGAUGCAACGCGAAGAACCUUACCUGGUCUUGACAUCCACAGAAGAAUCCAGAGAUGGAUUUGUGCCUUCGGGAACUGUGAGACAGGUGCUGCAUGGCUGUCGUCAGCUCGUGUUGUGAAAUGUUGGGUUAAGUCCCGCAACGAGCGCAACCCUUAUCCUUUGUUGCCAGCGGUUAGGCCGGGAACUCAAAGGAGACUGCCAGUGAUAAACUGGAGGAAGGUGGGGAUGACGUCAAGUCAUCAUGGCCCUUACGACCAGGGCUACACACGUGCUACAAUGGCGCAUACAAAGAGAAGCGACCUCGCGAGAGCAAGCGGACCUCAUAAAGUGCGUCGUAGUCCGGAUUGGAGUCUGCAACUCGACUCCAUGAAGUCGGAAUCGCUAGUAAUCGUGGAUCAGAAUGCCACGGUGAAUACGUUCCCGGGCCUUGUACACACCGCCCGUCACACCAUGGGAGUGGGUUGCAAAAGAAGUAGGUAGCUUAACCUUCGGGAGGGCGCUUACCACUUUGUGAUUCAUGACUGGGGUGAAGUCGUAACAAGGUAACCGUAGGGGAACCUGCGGUUGGA
rnacentral:rRNA from 3 species